AUAUCAAUAAGCGGAGGAAAAGAAACCAACAGGGAUUGCCCUAGUAACGGCGAGUGAAGCGGCAACAGCUCAAAUUUGAAAUCUGGCCCUUGGGUCCGAGUUGUAAUUUGUAGAGGAUGUUUUUGGUGCGGUAUCUUCCGAGUUCCUUGGAACAGGACGCCUUAGAGGGUGAGAGCCCCGUACGGUUGAAUGCCUAGCCUUUGUAAAACUCCUUCGACGAGUCGAGUAGUUUGGGAAUGCUGCUCUAAAUGGGAGGUAAAUUUCUUCUAAAGCUAAAUACUGGCCAGAGACCGAUAGCGCACAAGUA
rnacentral:rRNA from 1 species